rnacentral:lncRNA from 1 species
CCCGUCGCGAUCUAAAUUAUAAAUCUCGGUCUUGACAGACAUCGAAACGCGCGUUUCGGGCGCGCAAUUGGCGAAGAAGAGUGAGUACUCAUUUGGAGCAGUGACCGGAUAAGAAUUAUUGAAAGACGAGAGAGGAGGCGGUAAGAGGUCGCGGAAAGUGAAAAGAGAGAGAAUGUAGUGGGAAUCGAGAACGCAUAAGUUAGGGUUUUGCUGGAUCUCGAGGAGGACCUGAAGGAGAGAUUCUUCGGAGAGAAGGAAAAAGCCGAGGCGUGAAGAGACUGGAUUUCCAGCGUUGAGAGAAGAGGCAACGGAGACGGAGUGGACGGAGAUUGUAACGUAUCCAGUUGGUGUGAAACCGAAUUUUUUGAAGAGGAUCAUGGCUCGCGCGUCGUUUGUGAUUGUUAGAGUUUUAAUCUCGGCGGUGGAAAGGGAGAUGAGGAGAACGAGGACGAGGAGGCGGAGGAUGAGGUGCGGUGGUUUAGUCAUUUUUUAGGUGGCUGUCGUUGCUGUAGUGGCAGUGGAUCUGUGGUGGGUGGAGGGGGAUGAGAGACUUGAGAGUUUACUUGAGAACGUGGAUUCAAUGCUAAAUAGUGGUUGUAGUCGAUACAGUCGAGUCUUGCCAGUCAAGAGGGUGCCUUUAUGCGACGUCGUUUUAUGAAGCGUUGACGUGGUCGACGCUGUUCGCGCGGAAGCCUAAAUUGACAGUCAUGCCUACUCUCAAGUCUCUCAACAGCUCUUCCAUUUUCUAUUUCUAGAAAGGCCCAUUUCAUUGGAUGGGGAAAUUUACAUACGUGCAUUGGUAUUUUUGUAGUUUCAUCUAUUUUUAAGGAUUUAAAAAAGUUAGAUAUUGACCAACUUUGCAAUUAGGUCCAUCUACUUUUUCAUAAUUGCAUUUUGAUACUCGCACUUCAUUAUCAUCAAGGUAAUUUUUUAUCCUGCGUCGUAGCCUUUGCUAAGCUUCUUCCUCGUCUUGGUCCUUCAAGUCAUGGAUUUUUUAACAUGAAGGAAGGUCUUUUAGUACAAAAUACGUUGAAAAAAACAAGUGUUAACCUAGAGUUUUUUUUUUGUUUGUUUUUUAUGAGGGUCCUUUCUUUUCAUAAUUUAUUUCAAUUACUUUUAAGACCCAAACCGGUGUAAGCCUAAAGUUUUUUGGGUUACAAGUCAACUCAUUGGAUCGAGCAUUUUAAGCAUCGAAUGAUGUAUUUUGAUUUUGAUUUUUUUGAUUUUUUUAUUCUUUCGAACUUAAUCCUCUCACUUUAUUUUUAUUUUUGUUUUGGAUUUUUUUUGUGAAUUUGUGGACUUAUAAAUUUUCAAUUUGGCUCUUGUAUUUUAGGUUUCAACACUAAUGUUUUGGUUUUAAAUUUUUAUUCUUGGCACAUUUAUCAAAUUUUUAUUUUUUUUGUUUCAUUAUUGGAUCCUUAAUUUUGAUUUUUCUCAAUUUUACCACUUGGGUUUGCUGAUAUUUUUUUCUUAACUUUUUUUUGCUUAUUGAUUUUUUUCCUGAUUUUAUCUUUCAUCAUUUGGAUUCUUGGGGAUUGACGAUCGGUAUUUUUUCCCAUUUUUUUCUAUGAUAUAGAGUCAUUAAUUUUUUUUCUUUUUUUUUAAUAUACAUACAACACCUAGUCAUCACUUUUUUACAAUUCAAAAAAAUUGAGCCAACCCACAGCUUAGCGUAGAAGAUAUCUAGUUAUACUCUAUACUAAAUGUUAUCAACCUUUCAUUGUGUGAAUCCACAGUAAAAUGGUGAUUUUACUCUUUAGUGGGUAAAGUAACAUGUCUUGGGUUUAAAGGUAUGAAGGUAUUUUUUAUGGGAUACAUUGGUUUAUUACUUGAAAGGAAAGGGCUAGACGAUAAUUCUAUAUUUUCUUUGACAGUGUGAUUACUUAAUUGCCCUUGAAAGACAAAAAAAAAAUCAUUCGGGUCAAGAGACUUUUAAGUCCUUGACUUUAUUUUUAAACAAGUUAUUUUAUUACCUUGAAAAUUAAAAACAAUUAUCUUUGACUUAGGGACUCUUUUAUCAUUUACAUGUAGUCAUUUGGUAGUUAUUAGGUGUCCUUGGAGGUAAAAGGGUAAUUUGGUAAAUAAAAAAAAUAGAUGAAUAGUGGCAACCGCCUUUAGACGAUGCAUGCAUCACUGUCCGAUGGCCAAAACCGUGAUUUCAUGGCAGCUUCUAAAGCGUCUUAGUGUCUCCUUCAUGGAUCAGCGACACGUGUAGCACUAUAGUGGCCGGUGUGGCGUUGUGGCCUUUUGUUUUAUUUUUUCCUUUUCUCCUACUAGAUUUUCAUGCUAGAAUUAAAAAAAAUCAAAUCGGCCCUUAAAGUUUGUUGUACUUAAGAUUGCAUCUUUGUUCUCUUUAUUACAAUUUUUAAAAUUUAAGAUACUUUAUAAAAUUAAGAGGUUUUGUCAAUUUCAUCCAUGUUCUCUUUCUUACUAUUUUUUUUUUAGUUUAGAAUAGUUAAUAAACUAUAACAACAUCUUUGUUUAUACAUGUUCAUAAAAAAUAAUAUUUUAUUUUAAAAAUUAAAAUUCAUCUGUAUAAACAAAAUGAAAAAUUAUAGAUGAAUUAGAAUAGUAUUUUGAAAAAUAAAACACAAACAAAAUAAUUAAAAAAAAACUAUAUUCUAAAAAGACAUGCAAAACUUGUGACCUAGAUUAUAAAACCAAGAUAAACCCGUAGAAAAAAAUUAAAGAAAAUCACAAAACUAAUAUUAAAAAAAAAACUAAUGUAGAACAAUAAAAUCGCACGAAGCCAAAUCCCUAAAUAAUCAAAAGAUGAAACAUGAAACAUGAAAAAAAAAAUCUAUCACACAAAAUGAUCUAAAAAAAUAAGGCAAACAAAAAUGUUUAAUUGAUUGGUUAAAUUAAAUUGAGAAAUAGCUUUAACAAAAAGAAAAAAAAAUUAAAAACAUAAGGGUCAAAUUAAAAAAAAAAAAAAUUGAUCGAAUGAUGAAAUUGAAAGCCAGAAAAACUUUAACAAAAAAGCCAAGAGAAAAAAAUUAAAAAUCAAGAUAAUAAGGACUAAAAUGAAAAAAAUACGUGAGAAAUUUUAAUUGAAGGACUAAAUUGAAAGAAAAAUAUAUAUAUAAAAGGAAAAUAAUGAAAUAAGAAAUGAAAAGAAUGAGUACUGGAAUUGAUAAACAAAAAAAAAGGAUAACCAUGCACUUUACUUAGUAGGAGAGAUAAAAGAAGGAGAAAAAAAAAUGAUUACCGAUGAUAAUUCAACCACCAUACAUUGUCACACAUCGCAUCAUAUAAAAAAAAGCAUUGUGGUGUAUCCAAAGAGACGGUGUAAGGUUAGUUUUGGUCACCGGAUGAUGUUACAGACCACCUUAAAGGUGCAGGUGUCGCCCAUCUGAUGGGAAGUCCUGAAGGUGCCAAUAGCUUUUUUGAUUAAAAAAAUUAAAAAAUCAAAGUAAAAAUAACAAAACACCUCUCAUGAUCCUGAUAAUUACUCUAAAAAACAGUGUGAAAGUAAAAAAUUACCCCAUACAAACUUUAUUUUGGCUAAAAAGUACUUCAACUGUACAUAAAUAAUAAAAAAAACAAAAAUAUCAUUGUCCAACAACCUAAUAAUUUUUUGAUCCUGGAAAUAAUUUUUAAAAGUUUAUGAAAAGUAAAAAAAGUUAUUGGUCAAUAGCUCAAAAUUUUGUUAACUCUUAAGAGUUAAAUAAUAUUUGUAUCAUGCCAAAAAAAAAUACCUUUAAAUAAUCUUUUAAUGAUAAAUAGUUUAAUAAAAAAGGUCAAAGCACCCUAAUCUAAAAAAAAAAAUCAUUCAAAGAAAAAUAAAUAAUAUCACUAUAAUAAUCCAGAAUAAACUAUAUCUACUACUAGAUUGAAAAACUCCACGCAUUAUAAUGCUUUGGUAAAUAGACAUGUACGCGCGCACAAGGAAACUUAAAUCCAAAUUGUGUUGUUUACUCCUGAGUUUGAUUGGGAGUGGCUGUCGAUUUCACCAACAUAGCAAUUAUGUUAUACCGAAUUGGAUUGGAUCGGGUCUGCCUCCUCUGGACCAGGGCCUGUUUGGAGUCGGUCCAUUUUAAAGAACUAAAUAAGCUUGUUUUUUUUAUUAAAAAAAAAAACGAAAUUUUCUUUUAGCUUUAAAUUAGUUUUUUUUUAGGAUUUUAAUAUGUUAUUGUCAAAAAUUAAAAAAUAUAUUAUUUUAGUAUUUUUUAAAUAAAAAAAUUACACACCAGUAUUCCACCUAAUAAAUCCAAUGAAUUCCUUUGUGGAAAUGAGAUUAAUCUGGACUCCAAAUAAAAUACAAGUUCGAUGACAACCUGACGAAGUUCUUUACCCCUGCAGUUCCAUCCAGGUUCAGCUUUUGGCGCAACAGCUGCAGAAAGCAGCAUGCUUUUGCCUCUCCCUAAUUUUCAAUCGUCAUCUGGCAGGCCAUUUCAACCGGAAAAUGGAUUCUUUCAUCGUGGGGAGAAAAAACAAACAAACCAAGGAGAUUCUCGAGUCAAUCUACGGAAUCGACAUCACAGCCCAUUAGACAACAAGACAUGACAGCAAGGAGUUGAUGCACAUGUACCAGCUGCCAUGGCCACUACGCGUCACUAUCAAUGACUGAUUCCCCGCACAAAGAUCCAAAACCAUGAGCACUACAGACCAAAUGCCUUAAGGUCUGGAAUUGAAGAUGAGAAAGCUUGAUAAUCAAGAAAUCCUAGAAAAACUUGGUAAAAUGCAAGUUCAGAAACGUUAAGCAUUCAACCUAAUGGCAUGGCCAGCUAAUAAAAGCUGGAAAAGCAUAUCUGUUGCAUAGAAUUGCUUUUUCAGUAUAAAAACCAAAACUAGAAGAGGUGGAAUGAUGCAUUCUUAAUUUAUUUAUUUUUCCCAGCAUCAUCAGUGAGCUCAGGGGGUGGGAAUCUCCAAGAGGAAAGACUACUAAUAAGGAAGUUUCUGGCUUGGCUCUAUAACAAUACAUAUUAAUAAACAACUCUCCAAAACACCAGAUAAAUAACCCCUUGAUGAUACUGGCUACCAAACCAAACAGCUAGCUAGCUACCAUAACUUUGAAACAAACAUCACAAUGAUUUACUUCUUUCAGAUAGACAGGGGAUAGAUUACCAGGCACGACCCAUAAAACUUCUCAUCCCUAGGAAAUUUGCAUGCGCACACGGCACAUACAAGUAAUAAUCUUAUUUCACGAAACCUCGCACCAUACACAUUUCUUUUAAGAGCAGCAGGAGAACAUUCAUGAUAUGUUCCUGUUUCAGAUACAUGCCAACUUCUUUUCAGUUUUCGUAGGAUAAUUUAUACGAACCUGGUUCAUCUAUAAGUAAACUUUCAUUUGGAACUAGUAACGAAAUGCACAAUGCUAAUAAUAAAUUCUAUAUCAAAACUUAGGGGAAGAAAGAGAGAAAAUGUUAUCUGGAAACAAAGGGGCAAAUCUGUGAGAAGAGAGCGAUUCAUUACCUUCAUAUUAAAAUCAAUAUUACUGGAAAAGCCAUGCCAGCAAUCUGCAACUAUUUAAUACGGGAAAACAAGAAAAAGAAAUUCCAACAAGUGGCUUUCAGUGCAAUCAUCCUCGUGUUUAAACAACAUCAAAACGUACAAGUUACAGGAAACAAGAAUUCAAUAACAUGAAAUACUGAAAAAACAGGAAUAGUAUCAGCUAACAGAUCGUUUCGAAAGAGUCAUUAGCUAGUUCAAUGAUAACAGAAUGCGUGACAUUUCAUUUUAACACACCAUAUAAAGAAGUGCACAAGUAAUUAUCAGCUUCCGACAUGGAAAAUUCAUUAACCAAAAAUACAGCCACUACUCAGUAAAUACCAAAGUUUGUAUAGCAGGAAAACGACAUUGCAAAAAACUAAAUGUAAAUUAAGAGUAGUAGCUGCAAUGUCAGACCUGUCCCGUCAAAUUUUUUUCAGCAAAACAUUAAAUUUGCAGCAGUAGAAUCACCCCAACUUCUAUCCAUUUCAAAGCUCGAAUUCUUCAUCCCUCAAAGCCAACUCUGCAGCUUCCUCAUCCUCCUCGUCAAGAACAAAGUACUCAUUCUUCUCCACAGGCCUAAACAUAUAAAACAUCACCAUAUAAAACAUCAAACUAGCAGUCUCCUCGGCAGCAUAACUCACCCACUGAUACUUAUAAGCUGCAAUCGUCUUCAAUGCAAACACCACAAUCCUCGUGAAAUACAAGUACCCAAUAACCACAAUAUAAAACUGCCUAAACAACUGCAAUUUCGCCAAAUUCCUAGCAGCCUUCCCAUCUGUCUUGGAAGUCUCUCUCAACGAUCUGAUCGACCACACAAUGGGGAAAAUAAUUGCGCAACAACAAAUAAUAUCAACCAACAAAAACACCUGAUUCCAAGUCACCCAAUCCUUAAUGAAGGGACCAGUUUCACCAAUCACAACCGAAGCUAUAUUAGCCAAAACCUGUAGUGGAAUCACAACCAUUAGCACCUUCUUCUCUUUCUCUUGCAAAAAGGGUUUCAGAAACGACCAACCAGUCCCAAUCAAAACAAUAACGGUAAACAACAAAACCACACGAAUAAACUGGAAAAUAUAAAACAACACAUCCCAACCGUGUGGAGUCCCUGUGACCUUCACAUAAUGCUUAUCCUCGGCGGCACAGAUCAAAUUAAGAGCCUUCAUAAGUAACAACCCCCCCAUUAACAAAUGGAUCCGGUGGACAGAUCUUUUAUUACUAUACAGAACAUAAAUCCAUAGCCCUAAAAAUCCAGCAUAAGCGAGGAAAUAAAGAGAAUAUAACCAAGGCAAUUGCGUUAACCCUGCGGAAAGAUAAUCUCUAGACCCGUCGCGAUCUAAAUUAUAAAUCUCGGUCUUGACAGACAUGGAAACGCGCGUUUCGGGCGCGCAAUUGGCGAAGAAGAGUGAGUACUCAUUUGGAACAGUGACCGGAUAAGAAUUAUUGAAAGACGAGAGAGGAGGCGGUAAGAGGUCGCGGAAAGUGAAAAGAGAGAGAAUGUAGUGGGAAUCGAGAACGCAUAAGUUAGGGUUUUGCUGGAUCUCGAGGAGGACCUGAAGGAGAGAUUCUUCGGAGAGAAGGAAAAAGCCGAGGCGUGAAGAGACUGGAUUU